GAUGUUAAACUGGGUUGUCAAAGUCGUACCCCAACCACCUGAGCCGCCGUCCAAAAUCGCAGAGGGUCCGAAGGGCGGCAAACAAAGUGCUGCCCCCCCUGUCGCCGAAGCUCCGCCUCCUCCUCCUGAGAAGAAAGUGAAGUUUCAAGAUGAAUGCAAAAACGAAGCUUCAAAGGCUGAGAAUUCAAAGCAGGAGAACCAAGCAGCGGCAGGAAACGGUCCUGCGCCUGGGGUGCUGACCUGGAUCAGCAGCUCUCUUCCACAUCCUGCAGCCUCACCAAGCCUGAACAGAGCAAUCCCCGCCCACUCCACCAAGGAGGAGGCUGCAGCGCUCAGAAAGGGGAUGAUGGCCUGGAUCUCUCAGGGCUUGGAGAAGGUCGUUCCUCAGCCUGAGCUGAAGAGCAAAGAGCCCACAGCAGCGGAGCAGCCUCAGGUGCGUCAGACAGCGCCUCCUGCAGAAUCUCAGGUCACAGCGAAGGAGGCGGAGAGCGACCAAAGUGAGAAGUUAGGCCCGCCCAGGAUGAUGGAGUGGAUCAAACAUGGAAUCGAGAAGGUGGUUCCUCAUCCGGAGAGUCACUCCACCAACGAGAAGACUGAAGCUAAAGGUGCUUCUACUUCGCUGUUGAGAGUCACUGAUGAUGAUGAUGAUGAUGAUGACCUUCAAUUCCACUCGUGGUGUCUUUUGUUUGUUUCAGUGAUCAAAGUUCUGGCUUCGGCUCCAAAACCUCCCUCAGAGACAGAUAUGAUGGGCUGGAUCGUCAGUGGGAUCGGCCGCAUGCUGCCUCAGCCAGUCCUGAAGCCGGACGCAGGAAGUGACGAGGUGCAGACGAGUAAGUACCACACUGUCACCACUGCCCUCCUCGGCUGGCCUUCGGGUGGGGUCACCCAUGAGCACCAAUCUUUCUCUCCGUGUAGCCCGCAGAGACGAGCUGAUUGGUUGGUUGUAGCAGACAGUGUCAGCGCUGAGGUGGACUCUAACUGGGCUGCUCUUCUCCUUCUGUUUCAGGAAGGAAAGGAAAGCAGAGCCCCUUAA
rnacentral:lncRNA from 1 species